CGAACGCUGGCGGCAUGCCUAACACAUGCAAGUCGAACGAGGCCUUCGGGUCUAGUGGCGCCCGGGUGCGUAACGCGUGGGAACCUGCCCUUAGGUUCGGAAUAACUCCCCGAAAGGGGUGCUAAUACCGGAUAAUGUCUUCGGACCAAAGAUUUAUCGCCUUUGGAUGGGCCCGCGUUGGAUUAGCUAGUUGGUAGGGUAAAAGCCUACCAAGGCGACGAUCCAUAGCUGGUCUGAGAGGAUGAUCAGCCACACUGGGACUGAGACACGGCCCAGACUCCUACGGGAGGCAGCAGUGGGGAAUAUUGGACAAUGGGCGAAAGCCUGAUCCAGCAAUGCCGCGUGAGUGAUGAAGGCCUUAGGGUUGUAAAGCUCUUUUACCCGGGAUGAUAAUGACAGUACCGGGAGAAUAAGCUCCGGCUAACUCCGUG
rnacentral:rRNA from 1 species